GCCUACACAUGCAAGUCGAAACGGGUAACAGGAAGCAGCUUGCUGCUUCGCUGACGAGUGGCGGACGGGUGAGUAAUGUCUGGGAAACUGCCUGAUGGGGGGGGAUAACUACUGGAAACGGUAGCUAAUACCGCAUAACGUCGCAAGACCAAAGAGGGGGACCUUCGGGCCUCUUGCCAUCGGAUGUGCCCAGAUGGGGUUAGCUAGUAGGUGGGGUAACGGCUCACCUAGGCGACGAUCCCUAGCUGGUCUGAGAGGAUGACCAGCCACACUGGAACUGAGACACGGUCCAGACUCCUACGGGAGGCAGCAGUGGGGAAUAUUGCACAAUGGGCGCAAGCCUGAUGCAGCCAUGCCGCGUGUAUGAAGAAGGCCUUCGGGUUGUAAAGUACUUUCAGCGG
rnacentral:rRNA from 1 species